CUCAAAUCAGAUAAGGCUACCCGCUGAAUUGAAGCAUCUUAGUAAGCGGAGGAAAAAGAAAAUAACCAUGAUUCCCUUAGUAACGGCGAGUGAAGCGGGAAGAGCCCAGCGUGAAAAUCCCUUUCGGCGCGCCAGCGCGGGCAGGGAGUUGUAGGGUGAAGAGGGAUGCUGCAGCGCGUGCCGAGUCUAAGUGCGUUUGGAAUGCGCCGCCAGAGAGGGUGAGAGCCCCGUGAGUUGCUCGGGAUGACAUGCGCAGACGAAUAGUGUCCCAUUGGCGAGUCGCGUUGCUUGGGAGUGCAGCGCAAAGUUUGGGAGGUAGAGCCCUCCUAAGGCUAAAUACUGGCAAGAGACCGAUAGCGAACAAGUACCGUGAGGGAAAGAUGAAAAGAACUCCGAAAGGAGAGUGAAAUAGGACUUGAAAUCGUGCAGAAGAAAGC
rnacentral:ncRNA from 1 species